AGCGAACGCUGGCGGCAGGCUUAACACAUGCAAGUCGAACGGGCUUCUUCGGAAGUCAGUGGCAGACGGGUGAGUAACACGUGGGAACGUGCCCUUCGGUUCGGAAUAACUCAGGGAAACUUGAGCUAAUACCGGAUACGCCCUUUUGGGGAAAGGUUUACUGCCGAAGGAUCGGCCCGCGUCUGAUUAGCUUGUUGGUGGGGUAACGGCCUACCAAGGCGACGAUCAGUAGCUGGUCUGAGAGGAUGAUCAGCCACACUGGGACUGAGACACGGCCCAGACUCCUACGGGAGGCAGCAGUGGGGAAUAGUGGACAAUGGGCGCAAGCCUGAUCCAGCCAUGCCGCGUGAGUGAUGAAGGCCUGAGGGUUGUAAAGCUCUUUUGUCCGGGACGAUAAUGACGGUACCGGAAGAAUAAGCCCCGGCUAACUUCG
rnacentral:rRNA from 1 species